rnacentral:lncRNA from 1 species
UUUGGAUCAAGGAAGAUUAAGUCUCCCUAAUCAAUGCUAACUUAUCAACCUUUAACUCAUUGAUCAAAAAGAAAAAAAAGAAGAAGAAGGAGAUGAAUAAUGGAAAUGGAAAAAUGAAAGAAAAAAAUGCAUCAAAUGAAAUGGCCUAUACCAAUCUACAAAUGUUGACCAAUGAUAUUGAGGAUCAUGGUCAAACAAUCAAAAACAGAAGUGAGAUGAAGAUUGGAAGUCAAGAAAAGAACAAAAUAUUUUUGGCUUUUUUUAAUAUUAAA